rnacentral:rRNA from 1 species
GACGAACCGAGCGAACGUUGUUCGGAAUAACUGGGCUUAAAGGGCGCGUAGGCGGGCCGCCACGUUCGAGGUGAAAUCCUCCGGCUCAACCGGAGAACUGCCUCGAAUACUGGAGGCCUCGAGGCGGGUAGGGGCGUGCGGAACUGUGGGUGGAGCGGUGAAAUGCGUUGAUAUCCACAGGAACUCCGGUGGCGAAGGCGGCACGCUGGACCCGAUCUGACGCUGAGGCGCGAAAGCCAGGGGAGCAAACGGG